GGGAGUGUAGCUCAGUUGUACAGCAUCUGCUUUGCAUGCAGAAGGUCCCAGGUUCAAUCUCUAGUAACUCCA